AUUGAACGCUGGCGGCAGGCCUAACACAUGCAAGUCGAGCGGAUGACGGGAGCUUGCUCCUUGAUUCAGCGGCGGACGGGUGAGUAAUGCCUAGGAAUCUGCCUGAUAGUGGGGGACAACGUUUCGAAAGGAACGCUAAUACCGCAUACGUCCUACGGGAGAAAGCAGGGGACCUUCGGGCCUUGCGCUAUCAGAUGAGCCUAGGUCGGAUUAGCUAGUUGGUGGGGUAAUGGCUCACCAAGGCGACGAUCCGUAACUGGUCUGAGAGGAUGGUCAGUCACACUGGAACUGAGACACGGUCCAGACUCCUACGGGAGGCAGCAGUGGGGAAUAUUGGACAAUGGGCGAAAGCCUGAUCCAGCCAUGCCGCGUGUGUGAAGAAGGUCUUCGGAUUGUAAAGCACUUUAAGUUGGGAGGAAGGGCAGUAAGCUAAUACCUUGCUGUUUUGACGUUACCGACAGAAUAAGCACCGGCUAACUCUGUGCCAGCCGCCGCCGUAAAAC
rnacentral:rRNA from 1 species